rnacentral:rRNA from 1 species
UACGUAGGCAGGCAAGCGUUGUUCGGAGUUACUGGGCGUAAAGGGUGUGUAGGCGGUUGUUUAAGUUUGGUGUGAAAUCUCCCGCUCAACCGGGAGGGUGCGCCGAAUACUGAGUGACUAGAGUGCGGGAGAGGAAAGUGGAAUUCCUGGUGUAGCGGUGAAAUGCGUAGAUAUCAGGAGGAACACCUGCGGUGUAGACGGCUUUCUGGACCAUUGUUGACGCUGAGACACGAAAGCGUGGGUAGCAAACAGG